ACGCUGGCGGCACGCUUAACACAUGCAAGUCGAACGGAGAAUAUUUGGUUUACUAAGUAUUCUUAGUGGCGGACGGGUGAGUAACACGUGAGCAACCUGCCUUUGAGAGGGGGAUAGCUUCUGGAAACGGAUGGUAAUACCCUAUAACAUAACGAAGCCGCAUGACUUUGUUAUCAAAGAUUUAUCACUCAAAGAUGGGCUCGCGUCUGAUUAGAUAGUUGGUGAGGUAACGGCUCACCAAGUCGACGAUCAGUAGCCGGACUGAGAGGUUGAACGGCCACAUUGGGACUGAGACACGGCCCAGACUCCUACGGGAGGCAGCAGUGGGGAAUAUUGCACAAUGGGGGAAACCCUGAUGCAGCGAUGCCGCGUGGAGGAAGAAGGUUUUCGGAUUGUAAACUCCUGUCUUAAAGGACGAUAAUGACGGUACUUUAGGAGGAAGCUCCGGCUAACU
rnacentral:rRNA from 1 species